CCGUUACGGUCUUGGUCGUA
rnacentral:snRNA from 1 species